rnacentral:lncRNA from 1 species
UGUGUUGCUGCUAGGGAGUAAGGCAGGCAUAGGGUGGGAACUGCAGCCCUUCAGAUGUUACUAGUCUGCAGUAACCGCUGUCAGUAAGAGUUGGUCAUGCUGACUGUGGGAUGAUGGGAUUUGGAGUCCAACAUCUGGAGGACUAUUGUUUUCCUGCUCCUGGACUAAGAGAACCUAGUGGCACCUUGAGAGUGGUUUUACUUCUAGUAAAGUAAUCCCUGAGUACAGAAUUGCCUUGGCAGGAGACAGCCAAAUGCCUUUUGCCCUAGUUGCCAAAGUUCAGUUACGAUAAUGACUGCACUGUUACCCAAGUUCCUGGGGAUGGUUUAUGCCCUUGGUGAAAGGGCAUAUGCUAGAAUUUAGAAACAUAAGCUACUGUCAAAUGGGACUAUGUAGUAAAAGUUACCUGUGUAAUAAAUAUUUCACCUAUGUCUUAAAAAAGCCCUGACAUUGUUAUAGAACAGUGUACUUGCAACUUCAUAUUAGUUAAUGGUGUAAUAUAUGCAUGUUCAUUUUCUGUUUAACAAAAAAGCUGUGAUAAUUUAUAAAUAUUUCCAGCAGUGUUCACAAAAAUGUAAAUAAAUAAAAACCCAUAAAGAUUUCACUAAAGAAAAAAGUUGAAUGGCUUUUCAAGAAUAAAAUGUUUCAUGAUAUCUUGAGGAAAAUACAGAUUUCCUUUCCCCCUCAGGAAGAAGCUUUCAAAAUUGAUAAGAUAUUUGGAGUUGCUUAUAUCUUUCGGUACUGGUUCUAAAUGUUGAUGUGGGAUAUCUUCCCAAUGUUUUAUAUUGUUAUAUAUAUAUUUGUGUGUGUGUGUGUGUGUGUGCGCGCGCGCACAUGCACAAAGAUCACAUGGAAAUGUAGAUAAGAAGCAAGCUGAUCAUAGUCCUUCUUUAAACUCCAAAUACACUUCCUUCACUUAAGCCAUAUAUCUUUGAUUCCAUACUAAGCAUGACAUUCAGUUUUCAGGAAAUCAAUACUACAUCCUUUCCCUAAGCCAGAAUGCCUCUCUCAUUCAUCUUACAUACUGUGUUAUAACUAGACAUAUUUCCCACAGGCACAUUCUUCAAACACUUGCCUCCUCCUCUCUGCCCCCAUGACUGACAGCCUAGCACGCUAUCUCAGAGAAUAGUCAUCAUACCUGAACAAAAUUUGUACCUUUUCCAUGGUGCCAUGUUAUACAGGGUCAGGCUGCCCUUUGAGCAUUGGCAGAGCAGAUUAGGGCAAAUGGGAAUUGCUCAGUGCUAUACACAAGCUGCUGUCUGUGAAAUUAGGAAAAUGCAAGAAGUGUUGUGAUUAAUAGGCAGAUUUGGGAACUUUGAAGCAGGGCAGCCUGUAGAUUUAUCACAGCGCUGAUACCAUUGGCAGUGUUUUAACUCUCGGCUGCAGCUGUGUUGAAUUAUUCAUUAUAGUAUUUUAAAAAAAACAAUGAGGCUUCAGAGGGCAAAGCUGUAGGAUCUAUUUGAAAGCUGAAAUGGAAGAUCAUGUAAUUAAAAAUAAUUAUUAAACUUCAUUUAUCCAGCUAGUUGUAGUUCUCUCUCCCCUCAGAUACGGUCAUCAUUAAAAUUAUUGCUUUUCUUGUUUUGUUUUUUUAAAUCUCUUUCUGUCCAGUGAGGGGAGAAGAAUAUUGUGUUUAAAUUAGAGAAGCUAUCGUGUUUGCUUUAGACAGUUCGGAGAGCAUUUUCAUCUUGAUGUCCUGCAAAGGCAGUUGACUGGUGUGAAUAAUGACCUAGCUCAUGGAAGUUGGCUCCAAAUAAUAUAAGCAAAAACAGAAAGCUAUCUGUUUUGUGCAAGCUUGUCUUUUAGAUGAACCUCUCAGAAUUGCUCUAGAUUUUGUAAUAACUUGGAUAUGUAAAGAUAGAUUUUUGUCAAUACAGAGAGAGUGGUCUCUGUAGAAAAAGACACAAACAGGGAUCAAGUUUAGCUCUUUACAUGCAAAAUUGCUUUGGCUCAUUCUCAAUAAUAAUACUCAGUUAUGUUCAUACUAUCUUGCGUGAAAACUCUCGUGUUUCAUGUGCAGGCACAAUCAUAAGAGUGGGCAGGAAAGCCAACCACUCUUUGUUAAGUUGUCAUUAAAUCUCACAACACUGUUCAUAAGACUCCUUCCAUACUUUGUGGUCUGAAAGUACGGUGGUACCUCAGGUUACAUAUGCUUCAGGUUACAUACGCUUCAGGUUACAGACUCCGCUAACCCAGAAAUAGUACCUCGGGUUAAGAACUUUGCUUCAGGAUGAGAACAGCAAUCAUGCUCCGGCAGCGCGGCGGCAGCAGGAGGCCCCAUUAGCUAAAGUGGUGCUUCAGGUUAAGAACAGUUUCAGGUUAAGAACGGACCUCCGGAACGAAUUAAGUACUUAACCCGAGGUACCACUGUAUCUUCUAAGUACAAAGGAACUUGGCCACACAGCAGCAUGCUUUCUGAACCAAUAGAUCUGUAAUGUAUUCUAGCUCAAUUCCCUGCAGUGGCAGGAUAUCUAGAUGUGCAGCAUAAUCCUAAACAUAUUUACUUGAAAGUAAGUCCUGACAUCUCAAGCUUGCAGGGUUGGUGACUUCAUUUUUAAGCACAUUUACUUUAAGAUAAGUCACCUCCUCUUAUGUGCAACUACAGGGCUUUGGGGGGAAAGUUUCCAUUAGUGUCACGGGAUAUUUUUCCCAAGCUUUGUAUCCACACAGGGGGAUAGGCUUCUUGUCCGCAUCACAGCUGGGCGGGGGGGGGGGGAAUAAACCUCACUUCCUCAUACACUGCAGUCCUGAUAAGAACUGAGGCUAUGGCACCUGUAAUUCAUUAAAGGGAAACCAAAGUUGUAGCUGCACACGAUGCAUUUAAUACAAUCUGUUUGGCCCUGAGUGUACAGACAGGCCUGCGAGAAGGUAGCUGAUCCUUGAUUCGAAGACCUGAAGGGCUUUAUGGAUCAAAACUAAAGACAAGCCAAAACUCCCCACCCCACUUUUGUGGUACCAUUCAUCUCCUGAAAAAGUUAAGGGAUUUUCAGCUAUGUUUGGAAUUUCUGAAUAGUCUUCAAAGACAGCUCCAUGUAAAACAUAUUGCAUUAGUCUAAUCUGGAAUUUAUCAGAGUGUGCAUUAGUGAAUUGCAGACUUAAUCCAUCCCUUCCACAUUUAUAAUCAGUCUUCUAGAAGCUUUAAGAGGCAACUGACUGAACAUCUAUAAGGGGUG